rnacentral:lncRNA from 1 species
CCUAGGAUGGCUCUUCACUGACACCACACUUCCACAUUAGGACACAAUAUGACUUGUUUUGGGGAAACUUUUAUCAGAGGUUGGUGCACGACGCACAGUGUGUUGAUUGGGCUUGGUUGGGUUUCCCAGCGGUUGCUCUAAUGAUGGAGAUGUUUUUGAGUUCUUGGGAUUGAGGGAGGUGAUUGAGUUCCAGCAGGGUAGGAAUGAGUUAGCAAUUAGAUAGUUCUAUGCCACUUUCGAGAUGGAUACAACGCCAGAGCAGAU